rnacentral:misc_RNA from 1 species
GUGAAGAACGCAGCGAAAUGCGAUACGUAAUGUGAAUUGCAGAAUUCAGUGAAUCAUCGAGUCUUUGAACGCACAUUGCGCCCCCUGGUAUUCCGGGAGGCAUGCCUGUCCGAGCGUCAUUGCUGCCCUCAAGCACGGCUUGUGUGUUGGGCCUCCGUCCUCCUCCCGGGGGACGGGCCCGAAAGGCAGCGGCGGCACCGCGUCCGGUCCUCGAGCGUAUGGGGCUUCGUCACCCGCUCUUGUAGGCCCGGCCGGCGCUUGCCGACACAUCAAUCUUUUUUCCAGGUUGACCUCGGAUCAGGUAGGGAUACCCGCUGAACUUAAGCAUAUCAAUAAGCGGAGGA